AUUGAACGCUGGCGGCAGGCCUAACACAUGCAAGUCGAACGAGUGGCGGACGGGUGAGUAAUGUCUGGGAAACUGCCUGAUGGAGCGGGAUAACUACUGGAAACGGUAGCUAAUACCGCAUACCAUCGGAUGUGCCCAGAUGGGAUUAGCUAGCAGGUGGGGUAAAGGUUCACCUAGGCGACGAUCCCUAGCUGGUCUGAGAGGAUGACCAGCGACACUGGAACUGAGACACGGCCCAGGCGCCUACGGGAGGCAGCAGGGGGGACUAUUGCACAAUGGGCGCAAGACUGUUGCAGCCAGGCCGCGUGUGUGAGGAAGGCCUUCGGGUUGUAAAGUACGUUCAGCGGUGAGGCGUUACCCGCAGAAGAAGCGCCGGCUAACUCGGUGCCAGCAGCCGCGGUAAUUC
rnacentral:rRNA from 1 species